rnacentral:rRNA from 1 species
CCUACGGGUGGCAGCAGUGGGGAAUAUUGCACAAUGGGGGAAACCCUGAUGCAGCGACGCCGCGUGAGUGAUGAAGGAUUUCGGAUUGUAAAGUCCUAUCAUCAGGGAAGAAGAAAGACGAUACCUAACUAAGAAGCCCCGGCUAACUACGUGCCAGCAGCCGCGGUAAUACGUAGGUGGCAAGCUUUAUCCGGAUGUACUGGGUGUAAAGGGAGCGUAGGCGGGUGUUCAAGUCGGAAGUGAAAGCCCAGGGCUCAACCCUGGAACUGCUUUGGAAACUGUGAAGCUGGAGUGCGGGAGAGGUAAGUGGAAUUCCUAGUGUAGCGGUGAAAUGCGUAGAUAUUAGGAGGAACACCAGUGGCGAAGGCGGCUUACUGGAAAGUAACUGACGCUGAGGCACGAAAGCGUGGGGAGCAAACAGGAUUAGAUACCCUAGUAGUC